rnacentral:lncRNA from 1 species
AAAAAAUAACUUUUUCAAUGUUGUCAACUGGGGACAGGUGCCUAAGUUUGGCCAAUCAGAUGCAUUUGUUGAGAAUCUUGCCUGUGGAACUACUAAUGCAAAGAACCAGUUGCUGGGGAAUUCUUUGCUCAGCUGUGGACAUUUUCAGUGUCCUGAGGCAGCAGGGGCAGUGUCUUGGAGUCAGCAAUGUGAGAGACUUUUGGACUGUGGUUGCAGGACACUUCUCCAGGUGGCCUUGGACUGACCCAGUUCUCCCUCCUUUCCGGCUUUGUAGUUCUCAAAAAUAACUGUAGGUUGUGCUGGGAAUGCAACAUCCUGGAUAAGAAGGGGGCAGGCUGGAAGAGCCUGGGCUCUGUUUCAGUUUCUCCUGGAAACAAGAUGUCCUUCAAUGCUUUAGCCUACCAGUGCAACCCAAAACCCAGAAGUGGGUGCCAUGGUGCAGAGAGAGCUUCAGGAGAAACCCUCUACUUCUGGACUGAGAAGCAGCAGAGGGAACUCCUAACACUCAGAGAGGGAGAGAAAACCUGGAUUCAGACAAGCACGGUGUAAAGACCACAUGAAAACACGGAGAAGGCAUCCAUCUACAAACCAAAGAGACAGGGGUCAGAAGAAGUCAACCCUGCCGUCACCUUGAUCUCAGACACCCAGCCUCCACAACGGACUGCAACCUGGAACAAGGAGAGACAAAGGGAAGGAGGAGUCUGGAGCCAUAUUGAAGAUGAAAUUGAGAUAUGGACUAGGUGGUGGAUCGUUUUUAUAAGAGGACAUAAAAGAGGAUGCUAAAGCUAAUUGCCACAAUCAGAACUCAAAGACCUAGCAAAUGCAAGGUGGUAUUUAUUCUAAACUCAGCAAAGUAGUAGAAAAAUAGUUUUGAGAACAGUUUUAAGGAGACUAGGGUAACAGUGAGAAAAUAGUUCAUGGCUAGUCUGGACUUAGGACUUUAGGGUCGGCCUGGUGAAUUGAAGGGAAGCAGCUGAUACACUCUGGUUGCCUUGUACCCUGGCUUUUGGUGCUUUCCCAUGUGCUGUAGUCAUCAGUAAUCUGGAGGAAAUGCUAUAGAGGCAAAGACACCAUUAGAUGGGUGCUCAACUAGCAAACAGGAUGUGACCACAGAGUAGUUACCCCAAGACCAGGUCAGCAUGACCCAAAAGGCAGAAGAGGACAAGGUUUAUGAGUGUUGGGCUGAGCUCACGCCUGCUUGAACAUCUCAAGAACAAUGUUAAUGAUGGAAGAGAGAGAUAGGAGAGGAAACUCAUUAAACUUGCCAAAUAUGAGAUGUAGCUGGGUUGGCUCUAUGUAAGCAUGGCAGAAAAGCAUUUAGAAGUCAUAAUACAUUUAAAAUAAGAGCUACCAGCAUAGCAGUGACAUGAAGAAGGCAUGUGUUUUGUUAAAAAGUUUUAAAUACUCCUAUAAAAGAUAGUAAGGUACAAGUUGUUUGCUUGAUCAGCAAUGCUAAUUGCCUUUGAAGUGCAUGCCUGGGGAUUCCAUGGAGAGAGGACCCUGUUUCUCCACCCCAACCCAAAUUCACUGAGUUUAUGUCAGAAUGUUCAGAAGCCCCUUUACAAAUUCCUCUGAUUGCCUUGUUAGACACUGGCCACCUCCCUGAACCUGGGCCAAGAUGAGGGUCUACACCUUGGCUUAGUUCUACUAUGAAAGACUUUCCUGCAGUAAAAGUUACCUGUCUGAAACAUUCAGAAGAGUGAAAAUGCCACAUCUCCAAUUUCCAGCAAUAUAUUUGUCUGCCAUGAUUUGGCCUGGAAGCUUAAGCAGGAAGACCACUUGGAGCCAGACUUCAGAGUGAUCUGUCUCUAAGGAAUAACUUUCAUAUUGCAGCGUUCGGUUUUGCAAUUCUUCCUAAGCUACUCUAAAUUCGCAGCAUAAAUCUGCAGAAAGACUUCACCCUCCACAUCAAACCCUUAUAAGGAUCCAUUUCUGCUCUCAUUUUAGAAUAUCUUUUCUAAUAGCUAAAGGCAGACAGAGGCAAACCAAGAAAUCCAGACUUUGCAUCAACGGGUUAAAUCAUAUGUCAAAGGUGCAACCAUAACGUAUUACAAGCUUCUCAUCACAUAAUACAUCACUCAAGAAAAAAUAUUUGGGCAGCUUUUCUAAUUCAUCUUCCUGGUGUUAAAGGAGCACAUCUCCAGUGUUCGUGUCUUCUGUUUCAAUUAAAGCAAUCAUGCCUACUCUUUUAGGAAACUACUAAGGUUUAUUACCUCUUUGUUUCACUGCUAAUAUUCAGCUUCUCCUUGUGGUCUCCCCUUCCAAAUACAUAUUUUUUUCUUUCUAUCCGGUUUUGCUUCUCACCACAAUAUACACUUGUGGCUAUUGUUUGAUAAAAUGGCCACUAUAAAGAUGUAACUUGCUUAACAAAUAUCAGCAAGUGUUUAUGGUUUCCUGUGUACUUGAUGCACUGAGUGGGUGGAAGUGGGUAAGAGAAAGAUGAGGUGGUUCAUGUUCCCAGUAGGAAGAGAGAAUGUCAAUACUCAAAAUAGCUAGAAAACAAUUCACCAUCAGUAUUGAGACAGGCAUUUCAUUACUGUAUGGGUAAUAAUUAAGAAAUUUAAAAUAAAAACAUUGGCCCUCGU